rnacentral:lncRNA from 1 species
GAGGCUCAGGUCACGAACUACCGAUUUCGCAUGGUACAUGGUUUUCGGAAUGGUCGACUCCCCAUUUGGAAUAGCACGACGCAUGAUGGAUAAUAAUUUCUGAAAACUUUUAUCACUCCAAUGAUUAUCGCAUUUCAACUGAUACAAUUCCAAGAUAAAAGAUAGUUUGGAAAACUCAGUGCAACCUGGAUAUAACUGUUCUUCACCUUCUUUUAGACGGCGUAAGAACGAAUCGUCAUAUCUUGCUCUGGAUCUUCGUCGACUGAAUCUUCGUCGACUGGAUCUACAUCGACUGGAUCUUCAUGGACAGGCUCGUAUUCGAGAGGUUCUGUUUCGAGAAAAUCUUC